GAGCUGUAUCGAGGAGGAAGAAGAGGGCUCUGAGCUAUGCUCUCUCCCUUGAGUGUCUUUGGAGAUGGAAUGAGCUCCCCCCUGAGUAUGCUCCUUGGGUCACCUUAUAAGCACGGUGCCCAGGGGACGAGAGUGAGGGAGAGAGUAAAAGGGGGUCCCAUGUGACCUAGUUGUCUGCUCUUUGUCCCGUGAGGUCUAGGUGGCACUAUUUGUCAGUAGUGUCCGACUAUAGUGGUAUGGGUGUCUCUUCCUUUUGUCAGCCAUGUUUUCUGCUCAGCCAGCAGCCGUCCAGGAACAAGUUCAAAUCAUGCUUUUACAAAAUGCUAUGACACUCUUAGGUCCAGUGUCCUGUUGUGAACGGUGCUUUGCUGCGAAAUUAGCCAUGGAAUUAGGAAAAAGCUUGUUUAAUAAACAGUAAAUAGGGAAAAGCUGGUUAGACAAACGGAAUUACCAAUUAUCGUAAUUCACCCCGAUGCCAAACUGAGCCUUAGUUUGUUGGAAUACUUUUGUCAUACUUUGGUAGUUAGUUACGUUCGGAGAUCUAUUAUCUUCUAAAUAGAGGCCGUAGUGACACCGUGGCUUCCUUUUACCCUUUCAACUUGCUAUAAGCCCAAACGCUCUCUUAUCACAUCUAACGCAAUAGUAAUGGUCUGCUAUAACUGUCUAUGGAUAGCCAGAUAGAGGCUGCCAUGCAAUUCAUUUUUUUAUUCCUUUGGACAAUUAUUUUGGAAUACUGUAUACUUGGUAUGUACUGAACUAAAAUUAGCACCGUAGACAAAUAAGUCAAAAAAUGAUAUCUCAAAUUUUUAAUUUUUAAUUCCAAGUUGGGAAUGUUUAAAAAUAUAUAUUAAAGGCUGCUUAAUUAAAGAACAUAUUUAUAAUCUGCAAAAAUCAUAAGUCGAUGUGAAUAAAGGCAUGCCCACUAACGUAUAUUUGAAUUAUAUUUUAUGUUUUGUAAACAUUAUUUACAUUCAGUGUGUUUCUAUAAGUUGACUAUAGAGUUUCAUGGUUCAGCUAUAUUUUUAAGUUGACUAUAGAGUUUCAUGGUUCAGCUAUAUUUUUAUGUAACUAUAGUUGAGUGUACGUGCUAGAAAUGUUUGUGUUUUUAGUUGCAUUGUAUACAUACCUUAGUUUGUUUAAGUUAUUUGUAUUUAUGUGUAUUUUGUACAACAAAUCAAUAGAAUUAAUUUAUUUCAAAAUGGCGGCAGAUCAGCAAUGUACUAUUGCCUCACUAUAUACCCAGGUGCUUUCCUGUGUUGCGGGUCAACCUCUUCUUUUGGGUUGUAAGGUGGUAGCUGUGAGGGGAAUAUAGCUUGGAAGGCUAGGGGCUAUAGUCAGGCAAAUCACCAUGAUACCAUUAUAAAUGUUAUUUACUGUUGGGAAUAUUAGCAAUUUUCCAAUUAAUUUAAUUUAUAAAUAAAUCAUGAUGAUAGCAGGAUGGGGAUGUACUAAGCAUAGAGCAGGAAGAUAACAACAAGUACGCCUAGCACAUGAACAGGUAAAUAAGGGAUGUACAGAUCUAUACCCUCCAGUCGGAAGGUCAAAGCCGUGGCGGCGGUGGCAACGUUUUCAUUUGCCUUCUUUUGGGCGGUGUCAACCAUGGUGAUGUCGAGGAUGAAGACGAACAACAGCUUGCAGUCAUGCGAGACGCUCCUUAAAAACCUAAUCACCAUUGUCCUAGUGCAUGAUCAUGGAAGGUGGGUUUGUGAGGCCUGCUCUGUCAUACAACUGUGCACACGGUUGUCGGUUGACAAGAUGGGAUCACCGGAAGCAGUAGCAACGAGAGGAAUGAUGGUGGUUUGUGCAUGAGGAGGCUGAGCAGAUAAGAUCUGAUCAGGUGAUGGCUAGGGUUGGUUGGUGGGUAGGGAGACGUGAGGGUAAGGCCCACGACCGAGUCGAUGACACCUGUUAGGAAAGCAACUUAUCUUUAUUAAAGGCCCAAGGGGCAUAUAUAUAUUACACAAGACUUGAGGUGCAAGGUGUUAGGAAUAAGCAACUUGUAUUCCCAUGAGGCCAUAGGCCGGUAUAUAUAUAUGUACAGGUAAUGGACUAUAUGCAGGAAAUCCCUUAUAUAUUGGGAUAAAUACAAAAGGGUACAUGGCUAUAUUAUAUAUACUCUAACACCCCCAUCAAACUCAUGGUGGAUGAACAACACUGAGUUUGGAGAGAUAGAAGCCAUGCUGCGCUCUAGUUUGGGCCUUCGUCAGAAAAUCCGUCAACUUUAACUCAGAAGGCACAUACUGAAGAGCAAUAACCUGAUCCUGCACACCAGCGCGCACAUAGAAAGCAUCAACACCAAUAUGCUUGGUGAGCUCAUGCUGCACAGGAUCGCGCGCAAUGCUAAUAGCACCUGUACUGUCAGAUAAAAGCAGAGUCGGUGUAGUGAUAGAAACACCAAAAUCCUGAAGCAACCACCGUAACCAAGUCACCUCUGCCGUCAAAAGAGCCAUCGCUCGCAACUCAGCCUCUGCACUCGAACGGGAAACUGCAAGCUGUUUCUUCGUCUUCCAGGCAAUGAGAGAACCACCAAGAAAAACACAGUAAGCAGAAAGUGAACGGCGAUCGGAAGGAUCACUAGCCCACGUAGCAUCCGAAUAGGCCUGAAGCUGUAAAGAACUGGAGUGAGGAAAGAAUAGACGGUGAGAGAUCGUGCCCCGAAGAUAUCGGAGAACACGAAGGAGAUGAAUGUAGUGAACCGAGGUGGGAGCAGAGACGAACUGACUCAGAAUAUGAACCGGAUAAGAGAUAUCCGGAUGAGUGACAGCUAGAUAGACAAGACUGCCAACAAGAUGAGGAUAACGCGUCGGGUCAAGGCAGGGGAUCACCAUCAGUAUCACGAAGGUGAACAUUGAGCUCCAUGGGAGUCUCAACAGUGCGCUCGUCAGUAAGAGCAGCACGAGCAAGAAGAUCCUGGAUAUACUUUUUCUGGGAUAUAAAUAAGCCAUUAGAGGUAGAAGAGACUUCAAUCCCAAGAAAGUAGCGAAGAGGUCCAAGAUCAGACAUAAGAAACUGCUUGCUAAGACGGGCCUUUACAAAGGCAAUAUACUCGGGGUCAUCCCCAGUGAUGAUCAUGUCAUCAACAACGAGAAGAAGAAGAGUCCGACCACGAGGAGAAAGGUGAAUAAACAAUGCUGGAUCAUGAGCACUUGCUGAAAAACCAGCGGCAGUCACCACAGAGGCAAAACGCUCAAACCAGGCACGGGGGGCUUGCUUAAGGCCAUAGAGAGAGCGACGAAGACGACAUACCAUGCCAUCAGGAACAGAAUACCCAGGUGGUGGCUGCAUCUACACCUCCUCACGCAGCUCACCAUCAAGAAAAGCAUUCUUAACAUCCAGUUGAGAUAUAGACCGGUGGCGGGCAGAGGCCACGGCAAGAAGUGUACGAACAGUGGUCAUAUGGGCUACAUGAGCAAAAGUCUCGUCGUAAUCACGACCAUGCUCCUGCUGNNNNNNNNNNNNNNNNNNNNNNNNNNNNNNGAAAACCACGAGCCACAAGGCGAGCUUUAUAACGCUCAAGAGAACCAUCAGAGCGAGUCUUAACCUUGUAGACCCACUUACAAGUGAUGGGACGGACUCCGGGAGGAAGGGAAACAAGAUCCCACGUACCAGUGCGUUCAAGAGCAGCAAUCUCCUCUGCCAUCACAAACUGCCAUUCAGGAUGAACAACAGCCUGACGAUAAGAAGUUGGCUCAAGAACAGCAGCACCAGCGGUGGGAAUCCAAAGCGACCAACAGGCAGACGAGGACGAGAACGCAAGCCAUAAGUAGGCUGAGACGAGGAUGACGACACAUCCACAGAGGCAUCCACAGGACGGGAACGACGAGUGUAACAUUGAGGAAAAGAUGGAACAAUGCAAGAAGGACUCGCUAAUGUAGAAUCGGGGGGGGGGGGGGGGGGGCGCCAGCUGCGGGGGGGGGGGGGGGGGGGGGGUGGCGACGAAGAAGUCACCGUAGAUGAAGGUGCGGAAUCUGGUGACAUGCUAGGCGAGGAGACCGUGGAAGAUGGUGGCGGCAAAUCAACAAGAGGUGGAGAAGCAGAAGGAGCGGAACGAAUAGGCAAAGGCUCGAUGGGGGUGAUAGGUGUGUCUGGAAAAGUGAGGAAAGAGAUAUCCUCCAUGAGACUUGAGGUGCAAGGUGUUAGGAAUAAGCAACUUGUAUUCCCAUGAGGCCAUAGGCCGGUAUAUAUACAUUUACAGGUAAUGGACUAUAUGCAGGAAACCCUUAUAUAUUGGGAUAAAUACAAAAGGGUACAUGGCUAUAUUAUAUAUACCCUAACACAAGGAAAGUAAACAUAGACUAAUAGGACUCCUAGACCAAUACUAAUACUUCCUAACAACCCCCCUCAAUGCAAAGCUUAUGCAAUAGCAUUGCAUUUGAAGAAGUGUAAUACUAAAAAAAGUUGAUAAUCCAAAUCCGUGUCUUGGGAGUGUCGUCGUAGCAUGAAGAGUCUUCAAAACCUGCCGAGUCAAGCCAAAGGGGAUAACGAAGAGAUGGCACAUCACAGGAAGACACCUCAUCACUUGAAGAUACAACAUGAGAUGGGUUGUCAAAAGAAGAUGACACAUCAAGAGAAUAAAGCAUUGCGUAGAAAAUCAUAGUCCACGACAACCGACGGCAAGAAAAGCUCGGCGGUUAAGGCACGAUGGGCGUAGAUCGACAAUGCAAAAGGAGUCCAGAAAAUCUUAUAGAAAACAACAAGGGCAAGUAGGCCACAAAAGUUGUAUAGAAAGGAUCAGGACCAGAGAAAGGCCGACAGACAAAGGUAUGGUGGACUCGCAUGACGUGAGAAACACAAAAUAGCAACGGAUUUGGUGGACGUAGCGGAAAACGAAGAAAAUUAGAAAACACACACUAGACUAGGGAUGAUGGCAGCGGAAGAGAAAAAAUAAUAUCAUGGCGGCCAAGGCCAAAACCAAGCUCCUGACUGUGAAGAGGGUUGUCUCUCUGAGCUAGACGAGUCAACAACAAGACCAACAAAACUUGUUGAAGAAGAAACUGAAGUUGCAAGCAGAUGCUUAAGUCGCACAAUAUCCUCCUCAGUCAGAUACAUUGUUGAAAGAGACGGGGUAGAAGUGCGAGUCCCUGAAGUCUUUGAACGUGCUUGGCGUAGAUGUCGUUUCUUCAAGUAGCAAUCAGGCUCUGGUGACCAUCCGUGUUGCAGUAGCCACAAUGAGUGCCACAAUGAGUAUGAGAGCGAUCCUUACCACCACCAGAAGAAGUGGGGAGGACUGGUGGGCUAGAGUGAAAAGUUGGUGCAGCAAACGACGCUGCUACGAGCAACGAGAACAGAGGGAACCUCAAGUAAACCAGCACCACGAAGGCGAGUCUCCUCAGCUCGAAUCUUAG
rnacentral:lncRNA from 1 species